rnacentral:rRNA from 1 species
UACGUAGGGCCCAAGCGUUGUUCGGAUUUACUGGGCGUAAAGGGCGCGUAGGCGGUGCGGUAAGUCACUUGUGAAAUCUCUGAGCUUAACUCAGAACGGCCAAGUGAUACUGCAGUACUAGAGUGCGGAAGGGGCAAUCGGAAUUCUUGGUGUAGCGGUGAAAUGCGUAGAUAUCAAGAGGAACACCUGAGGUGAAGACGGGUUGCUGGGCCGACACUGACGCUGAUGCGCGAAAGCCAGGGGAGCAAACGGG